rnacentral:tRNA from 1 species
GCCCGAGUGGCGCAACUGGCUGACGCGGUGGACUCAAAAUCCAUUGCCCGAAAGGGCGUGCGGGUUCGAAUCCCGCCUCGGGCACCA